GAAUACAGGUCUGGCGAUGUGCAAGUACACAGAUUCACCAGGCAACAGCAUUGCGGCAAGGGUGGGAUGGGGAAGCCGGACCUAAGGCCAGAAAAGGAGAUUGCGACCAGAGCAUGCCUGCUGUGACUGUCAGAUAGGGAUAACAGAUGAAGUGCCUGGGGUUCCUGCUACUCCUGGUUCCCAUGGAGGUGGAGAAGAGGCAGGAGGCCACCUUGGAUCUGGAAGAUACUUCUGGGGCUUGUGGGCAUCUCAGUUUGGCAAAGGGGGCUGACUGAGCCCAACCCCUUCAGAGGAGAGGAGGACUAAAGAGAUGCCAGUCCAGGAAGGGGACCUUCAGGAGCAUGGGCAGCAGGGCCCAGGGAGGAGUAAUAGAAGAACAGAGGCCUACAGGUGAGUGGCUGCGGGAGGAGAUGGGGCCUUGACCUUUGGAGGCUGUAGCCAGCUGUGCCAUUGCUGUGAAGAUGCAGACAGAAGCCAGGGCUCCCAUGGCCCAAGUCCAACUCCCUGUGCCCCAGAGCACAGAAUGGUCUGGUGAGCGUACAGAGAGGGUGGCCAAGCACAGGGAGAGGCAGUGGAUGUAACUCUUGGGGUCUCUGUACC